CGAGCGGGCCGCGCGGCCGCGGGCACUGAGUCGAAAGGCUGUGCCUGAGGAAAGUCCGGGCUCCACCGGGCAAGGUGCUGGGUAAUGCCCAGCGGGGGCGACCCCAGGGAAAGUGCCACAGAAACAUACCGCCGUGCCAACGGUAAGGGUGAAAAGGUGGUGUAAGAGACCACCGGCAACCAGGUGACUGGUUGGCCAGGCAAACCCCACCUGGAGCAAGACCGAAUAGGAGGGGCAUGAAGCUGCCCGCUGACCCCUCGGGUGGGUCGCACGAGGCGGCAGGUAACUGCCGUCCCAGAUAGAUGGCCGCUUGCACAGAACCCGGCUUAUAGGCCCGCUCGCCAU
rnacentral:RNase_P_RNA from 1 species